CCUACGGGAGGCUGCAGUGGGGAAUAUUGCACAAUGGGGGAAACCCUGAUGCAGCGACGCCGCGUGAGUGAAGAAGUAAUUCGGUAUGUAAAGCUCUAUCAGCAGGGAAGAAAAUGACGGUACCUGAGUAAGAAGCCCCGGCUAACUACGUGCCAGCAGCCGCGGUAAUACGUAGGGGGUAAGCGUUAUCCGGAUUUACUGGGUGUAAAGGGAGCGUAGACGGCAGUGCAAGUCUGGAGUGAAAGGCGGGGGCUCAACCCCCGGACUGCUCUGGAAACUGUACGGCUGGAGUGCAGGAGAGGUAAGUGGAAUGCCUAGUGUAGCGGUGAAAUGCGUAGAUAUUAGGAGGAACACCAGUGGCGAAGGCGGCUUACUGGACUGUAACUGACGUUGAGGCUCGAAAGCGUGGGGAGCAAACAGGAUUAGAUACCCUAGUAGUC
rnacentral:rRNA from 1 species